GGGCCGGGCUGUGCUGAGGCCGGCGGGGUGGUAGCACAGGAGGGGUUCGCAGGCUCUGCGGCCGUGCGUGGCGGGGCGUGGGGGCCCGCAGGGCGGAAGUAGCUCGGAGAGACGGGCUGGGGCAGGGCGUGCGUUCGUGCGGUCAAAAUCCACUGGUGGCGUUUGGGGUGUUCCCGUGGACGCGGCCUCCCGGCAGGCGGACCUCCACCGGGUGGGCGCGGCAGGCGGGCUGUGCGGGCAGGAAGAGCGACGAGCUUGAGAGUGGGAGAUGGGGUGCAACGGCGGGCCUCUCCGGGGAGGUGACACUGCCGCUGAGACCCGAAUGGAAGGGCGCGCCCGGCGGGGGAACAGCAGGCGCCGAGGUUCGCUGGAAGCAGGGAAGGGAGGCCCGGGUACCGGCUCGCAGGCCCGCGCGAGCUUCGCGGCAGCGGCACGGAGCGUGUGAACGGCGCAGCGCCGAGGCUUCAUCCAUCGGCCGGUGCAGGGUCCGGGCAGGGAGCACUGUCGACCAGGGUCCGACCCUGGGAGAGUCCAGAGGUGGCGCCUCUGGCAGGGACAGAGGAGGGGGUGACGCUGUAGGGGUGCAGGCAGGAGGCUCCGCGUCAACUCCCCACACUGACGGGGCGGAUUUUUUUUUUUUUUUGACAGAGUCUCGCACUGUUGCCCAGGCUGGAGUGCAGCGGCGCGAUCUCGGCUCACUGCAACCUCCGCCUCCCGGGUUCAAGCGAUUCUCCUGCCUCAGCCUCCCGAGUAGCUGGGAUUACAGGCGCACACUACCACACCCGGCUAAUUUUUUUUGUAUUUUUCUGGUAGAGACAGGGUUUCACUAUGUUGGCCAGACUGGUCGAGAACUCCUGACCUCGUGAUCCGCUCCUAGGUUCGCCUUGGCCUCCCAAAGUGCUCGCUCCUGGGCGUCCCAAAGUGCUGGGAUUACAGGCGUGAGCCACCGCCCCCGGCCGAGGGCGGGUUUUGUUCUCUGCUGUGCCUGUCAGGCAGUCGUUGCCCUGUGGUUAUUUGUGGAGGGAUUGACGGUGCGCUGAGCUUCAGACUUUGUCUGAACAGCUUCGUGGCAGCAAGGAAGGGAGAAGGGAACAGAUCCAAGCCGAUCUUUGGGAGGAGAGAACCAGCAUGACUUGGAGACUUUAGAUGUCAGAGCAAAGGACAGGGUGCAGCUUGGUGACCCGGAGUGGGUGGGUGGGUGAAUGGAUGGAUAGAUAGUGGGGAUGUGGUCUGCCAUCACUGCCCUCUUCCCUGUGUGGGAAGCCAGCUCUUGGUGACUUCCUGCCGAGACCCACUCCCUCUGGCCCUGUCCGAGGGUGUCAAGUGUGCCCUUGACCCUUCACCCUGGGCUAAGGGAUGUCCAAGGAGUUGGGGACAAAGGCAGCUAGGAGGAGGAGCUACCUCCCGAGUCUGCUGCAGUGGACCCAGGGGCAGCUGCGGCUAGUCCAUUUGGAGCUCCUUCAAGCCGAAGCAUCCAACACCAGUGUCUGUGAGGUGUGGGCCCGGCCCCAGGAGCGGGGCCUGGGCAGCCCCGUGUGUUGAGGAAGGAAGGCAGGGCCCCCGCUCCCCGGGCCUGACCCCACUGCUUCAGCCCCCUCCUGCCUGCCUACAGCCUGGCCUCGAGGGCCCAUCAGAUGGAGUCUCACUGUAGUCCAGAUGGAGUGCAAUGGCGUGAUCUCGGCUCACUGCAAGCUCCGCCUCCCCGGUUCACGCCAUUCUCUUGCCUCAGCCUCCUGAGUAGCUGGGACUACAGGUGCCCGCCACCACACCCGGCUAAUUUUUUUGUAUUUUUAGUAGAGACGGGGUUUCACCGUGUUAGCCAGGAUGGUCUUGAUUUUUCGACUUCAUGAUCCGCCUGCCUCGGCCUCCCAAAGUGCUGGGAUUACAGGCGUGAGCCACCAUGCCCGGCCAAGCACUUCCUUGAACACAGAGGUGACCAUGAGGAGGGAGGCGUGAACCAGGAUGACGGGGCAGCAGAUGGAGCCUGCCUCCCUGAGACCUCAGGUGACCGAGUGCUGGACUGCCUCCUCCUGCCUACAUGGCUGAGAAAUAAACUUCUUUUUCAAACCACUGUGACCUGGGGUUUUCUGAUACCCUCAGCAAGCCUGUUCCUGUGGCCUGGUGUGGGUCCCCUGACCUGUG
rnacentral:lncRNA from 1 species